AGUAACGCGUGGGUAACCUGCCUCAUACAGGGGGAUAACAGUUAGAAAUGACUGCUAAUACCGCAUAAGCGCACAGUGCUGCAUGGCACAGUGUGAAAAACUCCGGUGGUAUGGGAUGGACUCGCGUCUGAUUAGCUAGUUGGCGGGGUAACGGCCUACCAAGGCGACGAUCAGUAGCCGGCCUGAGAGGGUGAACGGCCACAUUGGGACUGAGACACGGCCCAA
rnacentral:rRNA from 1 species